rnacentral:rRNA from 1 species
GAGUUUGAUCAUGGCUCAGAUUGAACGCUGGCGGCAUGCCUUACACAUGCAAGUCGAACGGCAGCACGGGGGCAACCCUGGUGGCGAGUGGCGAACGGGUGAGUAAUGCAUCGGAACGUGCCCAGUAGUGGGGGAUAACCAGUCGAAAGAUUGGCUAAUACCGCAUACGACCUACGGGUGAAAGCGGGGGACCGUAAGGCCUCGCGCUAUUGGAGCGGCCGAUGUCUGAUUAGCUAGUUGGCGGGGUAAGAGCCCACCAAGGCGACGAUCAGUAGCUGGUCUGAGAGGACGACCAGCCACACUGGGACUGAGACACGGCCCAGACUCCUACGGGAGGCAGCAGUGGGGAAUUUUGGACAAUGGGCGCAAGCCUGAUCCAGCCAUGCCGCGUGCGGGAAGAAGGCCUUCGGGUUGUAAACCGCUUUUGGCAGGAACGAAACGGCGACUUCUAAUACGGGUCGUUAAUGACGGUACCUGCAGAAUAAGCACCGGCUAACUACGUGCCAGCAGCCGCGGUAAUACGUAGGGUGCAAGCGUUAAUCGGAAUUACUGGGCGUAAAGCGUACGCAGGCGGCUUUGCAAGACAGGUGUGAAAUCCCCGGGCCUAACCUGGGAACUGCAUUUGUGACUGCAUGGCUAGAGUCUGUC